rnacentral:rRNA from 1 species
ACUACUAUGGAGAGGGAUAUCCGGGAAACUGGGGCUAAUACUCAUAGACUAUGAAUGCUGGAAUGCUUCGUAGUUCAAAGGUCCGCCGCCAUAGGAUGGGUCUGCGGCCGAUUAGGUAGUUGUUGGGGUAACGGCCCAACAAGCCUGUAAUCGGUACGGGUUGUGGGAGCAAGAGCCCGGAGAUGGAUUCUGAGACACGAAUCCAGGCCCUACGGGGCGCAGCAGGCGCGAAAACUUUACAAUGCGGGAAACCGUGAUAAGGGAACUCCGAGUGCCCGUUAAAUCGGGCUGUCCAUCAGUUUAAAAAACUGGUGAAGAAAGGGCCGGGCAAGACCGGUGCCAGCCGCCGCGGUAAUACCGGCGGCUCGAGUGGUGGCCACUAUUACUGGGCUUAAAGCGUUCGUAGCUGGUUUGUUAAGUCUCUGGGGAAAUCUUCCGGCUUAACCGGAAGGCGUCUCAGGGAUACUGGCAGACUAGGGACCGGAAGAGGUGAGGGGUACUCCAGGGGUAGGAGUGAAUCCUGUAAUCCUUGGGGGACCACCUGUGGCGAAGGCGCCUCACCAGGACGGCUCCGACAGUGAGGGACGAAAGCUGGGGGAGCAAACCGGAUUAGAUACCCGGGUAGUCCCAGCCGUAAACGAUGUGCGUUAGGUGUAUCGGUGACCACGAGUCACCGAGGUGCCGAAGAGAAAUCGUGAAACGUACCGCCUGGGAAGUACGGUCGCAAGGCUGAAACUUAAAGGAAUUGGCGGGGGAGCACCACAACAGGUGGAGCCUGCGGUUUAAUCGGACUCAACGCCGGAGAACUCACCAGAUAAGACAGCUGAAUGAUAGUCGGGCUGAAGACUCUACUUGACUAGCUGAGAGGAGGUGCAUGGCCGUCGUCAGUUCGUACUGUGAAGCAUCCUGUUAAGUCAGGCAACGAGCGAGACCCACGCCAACAGUUGCUAGCUCGUCCCCCGGGAUGGAGAGGACACUGAUGGGACCGCCUCUGCUAAAGAGGAGGAAGGAAUGGGCAACGGUAGGUCAGCAUGCCCCGAAUUAUCUGGGCUACACGCGGGCUACAAUGGGUGGGACAAUGGGUAUCGACACCGAAAGGUGAAGGCAAUCUCCUAAACCCAUCCUUAGUUCGGGAUUGUGGGCUGCAACUCGCCCACAUGAAGCUGGAAUCUGUA